rnacentral:lncRNA from 1 species
AAAACAAAGUUUAAAACACUAAACUAGACUCAAAGAAUGCAAAACUAAAGGUUAAAACACUUAAACAAACUUAAAACUCAAAACAGCAACCUAAUGACUCAAAACUGCCUAAAAACCACUUUCUGGGCAGUUUUGAGAACCUAACAAGAACUUGGACGAAUUUGAGUUAAAACUUGAAUCAAAACACUUAGAAACACAAAUCAAAACACUUUCUAACUAAUCUAAGACUUCAAAAUAAAGGGG